rnacentral:rRNA from 1 species
UGGGGAAUUUUGGACAAUGGGCGAAAGCCUGAUCCAGCAAUGCCGCGUGUGUGAAGAAGGCCUUCGGGUUGUAAAGCACUUUUGUCCGGAAAGAAAUCCUUGGCUCUAAUACAGUCGGGGGAUGACGGUACCGGAAGAAUAAGCACCGGCUAACUACGUGCCAGCAGCCGCGGUAAUACGUAGGGUGCAAGCGUUAAUCGGAAUUACUGGGCGUAAAGCGUGCGCAGGCGGUUUGCUAAGACCGAUGUGAAAUCCCCGGGCUCAACCUGGGAACUGCAUUGGUGACUGGCAGGCUAGAGUAUGGCAGAGGGGGGUAGAAUUCCACGUGUAGCAGUGAAAUGCGUAGAGAUGUGGAGGAAUACCGAUGGCGAAGGCAGCCCCCUGGCAAGUACUGACGCUCAUGCACGAAAGCGUGGGGAGCAAACAGGAUUAGAUACCCUGGUAGUCCACGCCCUAAACGAUGUCAACUAGUUGUUGGGGAUUCAUUUCCUUAGUAACGUAGCUAACGCGUGAAGUUGACCGCCUGGGGAGUACGGUCGCAAGAUUAAAACUCAAAGGAAUUGACGGGGUCAUAGCUGUUUCC